AAGAGCGCACGGAGGAUGCCUAGGCGCCAGAAGCCGAUGAAGGACGUGGCGAACCACGAUAGGCCUCGGGGAGCUGUAAGCAAGCGUUGAUCCGGGGAUUUCCGAAUGGGGAAACCCAGCUGGAGUAAUGUCCAGUUACUGCAGAGUGAAUACAU
rnacentral:rRNA from 1 species